UACGUAGGGUGCGAGCGUUGUCCGGAAUUACUGGGCGUAAAGAGCUCGUAGGCGGUUUGUCGCGUCUGCUGUGAAAACUCGGGGCUUAACUCCGGGCCUGCAGUGGGUACGGGCAGACUAGAGUGCGGUAGGGGAGACUGGAAUUCCUGGUGUAGCGGUGAAAUGCGCAGAUAUCAGGAGGAACACCGGUGGCGAAGGCGGGUCUCUGGGCCGUAACCGACGCUGAGGAGCGAAAGCGUGGGGAGCGAACAGG
rnacentral:rRNA from 1 species